GCUCUGUUAGCUCAGUCGGUUAGAGCGUGGUGCUAAUAACGCCAAGGUCGCAGGUUCGACCCCUGCACAGAGCA
rfam:Piromyces finnis strain finn BCR36scaffold_56, whole genome shotgun sequence.